UGAACGCUGGCGGCAUGGCUAAAACAUGCAAGUCGAACGCGAAAGCACUUCGGUGCAAGUAGAGUGGCGAAAGGGCGAGGAAUAAGUACCUAACGUGCCUUCAGGUAAGGGAUAGCUCAUGGAAACGUGUGGUAAUACCUUAUAAUCUCAUUUUCUCAUAUGGGUAGAUGAGCAAAGGCUUGCUGCCUGAAGAUCGGGGUACUUCCUAUCAGCUUGUUGGUGAGGUA
rnacentral:rRNA from 16 species